rnacentral:lncRNA from 1 species
CGUGUCUGCGUCGGGUUCUGUUGGAGUGCGUUCGGUGCGCCGUGGGUCCGCGCUGCUUCCACCCAACUUCCUGUUAGGUUACAUUAGUUAUAAUAUACACUCUGGAGGUGACUUGACUUGUCAUUGUGAACAACUAUUGCUCUUGGACGACCCAGGACAUAGGCCAGCCAGUACGUACCCCAGUGUGUUGGAGAAUCGCACUCGGCUUCUUCCUCUGUGCUGAGUCAUGAAAGUUGCCGGAGCAGGUGCAGUUACACAACCUCCAGGUAUGAUCCUGUUUAAGGACUGGAUUUAGGAUAACUACUUAGAGGUUAAAAGUCACAAGGGUGUAUGGAUGAGGCUGGAGUGAUCUGGGACCAAAG